GAGGCUAUAACUCAGUGGUAGAGUGCAUGUCCAGCAUAUGUGAGGUCCUGGGUUCAAUUCCCAGUACCUCU
rnacentral:tRNA from 1 species